rnacentral:lncRNA from 1 species
UAUCAGAUACGAAAGUCCAGACCACGUGUACUUUGUUCUUCCUAACACAUUUCCAAGUCUACAAAUAGAAAAGAGUCCAAAGGAGCAGAUGACUAUUAACUAAUAUUCUUGCAAUGUCGUGCAAUUUUGGCAUUUCAUACGCAGUUUUCAUAAUAAUUUACAGGCAUGCAUUUCUUCAAAAGCAGACAGUGAUAUAACAUUGUGUAAAGCCCUUUGGAUGCCCCUCUCCUCAGCCCUGGAAUCUCUCUGAACUGUCCAUUCUCACUCUCCUGAUUUUUCGGGUCUGACCAGCACAACACAGAGUUGGGAACUUGCUGGACAGCUCAGCCUCGUCACUGGAGGGAACUGGAGGAGAUGUGACAUUCAGGGCAGAGCCAAUUAUCCUGCAGUGAACACUGCAGUCAGGUUAGCUGAACGUGGGUGUUCCCAGCGCCAGCCGGCAUCGGAUUCCAGCCCUCCCAGGGGACCGGAGCUCCUAGGGUGGGUAUGGAAGUGCUUGGCUCCCUCCUCUCCCUUCAUAGCUGUGAAAGAAACCUCUCAGCUUCUGUCACAUCUGACUGCCUCACGCUUCCCCAAAACAGCCGCGCUCUGACGAGGGAGACAGGCGUUCCGACAGCAGAGCAGCGCUAGCUACCAACCUCACCAGAAAACACAAGCUGAGGACAGAACCCCUGGCUAAAUAUAGAGCCCAGCUGGGAGAGAAAACAAUGUGGCAUUGCAGA